GUGCCAGCAGCCGCGGUAAUACGUAGGUGGCAAGCGUUGUCCGGAUUUAUUGGGCGUAAAGCGAACGCAGGCGGGAAGAUAAGUCAGCUGUGAAAGCCCUCGGCUCAACCGGGGAACGGCAACUGAAACUAUUUUUCUUGAGUGCAGAAGAGGAGAGUGGAACUCCAUGUGUAGCGGUGGAAUGCGUAGAUAUAUGGAAGAACACCAGUGGCGAAGGCGGCUCUCUGGUCUGUAACUGACGCUGAGGUUCGAAAGCAUGGGUAGCGAACAGGGAUUAGAUACCCUGGUAGUCCAUGCCGUAAACGAUGAGUGCUAAGUGUUGGGAGGUUUCCGCCUCUCAGUGCUGCAGCUAACGCAUUAAGCACUCCGCCUGGGGAGUACGACCGCAAGGUUAAAACUCAAAGGAAUUGACGGGGGCCCGCACAAGCGGUGGAGCAUGUGGUUUAA
rnacentral:rRNA from 1 species